rnacentral:rRNA from 1 species
UAAUGUAUGGGGAUCUGCCCGAUAGAGGGGGAUAACUACUGGAAACGGUGGCUAAUACCGCAUAAUGUCUACGGACCAAAGCAGGGGCUCUUCGGACCUUGCACUAUCGGAUGAACCCAUAUGGGAUUAGCUAGUAGGUGGGGUAAAGGCUCACCUAGGCGACGAUCUCAGCUGGUCUGAGAGGAUGAUCAGCCACACUGGGACUGAGACACGGCCCAG